AUGGAGCCAGCCACCAGGUCAGACAUGUUGAAUCUUUUCCGAAAGGAAAUGUCAGGAGAGCAGGAGCACUGUGUAAAUCUGACACAGGACCUCACAGCUGUCAUGUAAGCAAGCAGGAGCCCUGGCUGUUUCCAGGGAUGGAAGCUGGCUGCAGCUUCGGCUGGAAGAUGGAGGCAAUGGGAAGCUCAUUUCGUUGUACAUUUUGCCUAAGUGUGUGGAACAAAAGGGUUCCAGACGGUUUCAUUAGCAGAGACCUCUGUCUUGGUCAUCAUUGUCGAGUAUGGGCAUUGGGAUGAACAAGUGAAGAACGGAGAAUCUAAUCUAGCAAUAGCAAGUAUAGGAUGAUUCUGAACAGCUGCCAAUCGUGUUCACCAGAGGACUGGAAAGAUGACUCAGAGAACAUUGUGCCCUGCUCUUUUAGAGGACCUGAGUUCACUUCCCAGCACCCAUGGCCCCCUGCAACUACAGCCCCAACAGGUAUCUAAUGUCUCUGGCUGCUACAGGCACCUGAACACACACACACACACACACACCUUAAAAAUAAAAUCUUCAAAUCUUUAAAAUAAAAAACCGAAGUGCUCA